AACCAUUGUACUGAAACAGUAGCACGAGGACAGCCGAAGGAAACUGAAGCUACCUCCUCUUUUCUCCUGCCCAUGGCGCUCGCCGGUAGCAAUGCACACCCCACGGUUCUUGUCCUCUUCCUGGUUCUCACGAUGAUGAUGCCCUCCUCGCCACCGUCACGCUGCCAUGCACUUAGGAUAUGGUCGUGCAUCAAUGCUGCGGUGCAGCCCUGCCGUGUAGUGACGUGCAUGGCUGAGUGCGAAGCCAGGGGAGCUGCAGGACCUAUUUCUCUUUCCCGCUGCAACCACACUGUCCACCCCGAGCAGUGCUGCUGCAGGAACGUCUAGCUCAACUCAGUGUGACAGCCAUGACGGCUAAGCACCCCUUUGAGCCGCUUUUCAUUCUGGCAUAGCCUGGUUCUGUUGCUUAUUCCAAUGAGCUUGUUGCUUAUCGUCUACAAUAAACCAAUAUUUUUGGGGUUUC